rnacentral:rRNA from 1 species
AACGAACGCUGGCGGCAUGCCUAACACAUGCAAGUCGAACGAGACCUUCGGGUCUAGUGGCGCACGGGUGCGUAACGCGUGGGAACCUGCCCUUAGGUUCGGAAUAACGUCGGGAAACUGACGCUAAUACCGGAUAAUGUCUUCGGACCAAAGAUUUAUCGCCUUUGGAUGGGCCCGCGUAGGAUUAGCUAGUUGGUGAGGUAACGGCUCACCAAGGCGACGAUCCUUAGCUGGUCUUAGAGGAUGAUCAGCCACACUGGGACUGAGACACGGCCCAGACUCCUACGGGAGGCAGCAGUGGGGAAUAUUGGACAAUGGGCGCAAGCCUGAUCCAGCAAUGCCGCGUGAGUGAUGAGGGCCUUAGGGUUGUAAAGCUCUUUUACCCGGGAUGAUAAUGACAGUACCGGGAGAAUAAGCCCCGGCUAACUCCGUGCCAGCCGCCGCAGUAA